rnacentral:rRNA from 1 species
CCCUUAGAUGCUCUGGGCCGCACGCGCGCUACACUGGUCGAUGCAACGAGUUUCUUUCCUUGGCCGACAGGCCUGGGCAAUCUUUGAACAUCGAUCGUGAUCGGGAUAGAUUCUUGUAAUUUUUGAUCUUAAACGAGGAAUUCCUAGUAAACGCAAGUCAUCAGCUUGCAUUGAUUACGUCCCUGUCCUUUGUACACACCGCCCGUCGCACCUACCGAUUGAAUGGUCCGGUGAAAUCUCCGGACUGGCGUGAGUCGGAGCAAUCUGACAAACACCGGAAAGUUGAUUAAACCUUACCAUUUAGAGGAAGGUGAAGUCGUAACA